rnacentral:piRNA from 1 species
AGCACAGAUGAAGCAAAGUGUGCCUUG